rnacentral:rRNA from 1 species
UACAGAGGGGGCAAGCGUUGUUCGGAAUUACUGGGCGUAAAGGGCGCGUAGGCGGACUCUUAAGUCGGUGGUGAAAUCCUGGAGCUCAACUCCAGAACUGCCUUCGAUACUGAGAGUCUCGAGUCCGGGAGAGGUGAGUGGAACUGCGAGUGUAGAGGUGAAAUUCGUAGAUAUUCGCAAGAACACCAGUGGCGAAGGCGGCUCACUGGCCCGGUACUGACGCUGAGGUGCGAAAGCGUGGGGAGCAAACAGG